AAAAAAAAGAAACCAUUACAAUAAAAGAGCGCACGAAAAUUGAUACAAAUGGAGAAUGCUAACAUGGUAAAAAGCAAAAGUUAAAAUUGAAGGAAUGAGCACAAUACAUUUGGUAAUUGACGUCUGAAAAUGUUUCGUGCACCCCCACGCGCCGCCAUCUACAAUCAACCACUUUACCAAAUUAUAGCAACGCCAAUAGUACUCUUAAAUUAUGAAGAUUUUGGUGCCAAGAAAAGAAAACAAGAGCCCUUUUAUAGAUAAAAAAGAAUAAGCAUUUUGAGUAUGAGUUCGAUGUGGGAUAGAGAAUAUUCACUACGAGCUCGAUGUGGGAAAAAAUCGAAAGACGGUUAAAAAAGAUUGCAUCUUAUACCAUAAAAUGCAACAUUAGAAAAGAUGAUUAUUGCUAAAUGGCGAGGGUAAGAUCUGUGCAGCGAUGGCUAAGCGCACAAAGCUGACGUCUAAUCCGUUUACGUCAAAAGUUAUGACCGUUGUUCACGACAUUCUUCUUCAUGUUGAGCUGCAGAUAUAGCCUUUUAGUGUGUUCAUUAACUCCAUGUUGGUGGCUAGGAUCAUGGCUGGACCAAAUUAUGACAGAGACUUCCUUUCUCAAGACAUCUGCGAUAUCCUUACGGUGGCCAGAGAUAAUUGUUUUUUGGGAGUGUUCCACAUGUAUCGCACGACGAAUGAGGCCGCACACAGCCUGACACAGUAUGUGCGUAGUAUUGAGCAUAGGAAGGUUUGGACGAGUAAUUAUCCCAUGUGGUUGAGGGAUAUUGUAUGCAAUGAUCUUGAGUAAUAAAAUACACGCCUUCCGCCUAAAAAAAAAAGAUGAUUAUUGUGUGGGUGUGUUUGUCAAGCGGCAGAAUUGUCACGACCGGCCCUAAUUAAGGAUAAUUAAGCCGGGGAAACCGUGACUAAUGGAGGGAGAUUAGAAGCGGGGUAGAAAGGGGAAUAAUCAAACAAGAAAGGAUCGCAUUUCAUCAUUGUUAACAACAUGGAUAUUUAUAAUAUAACGGAGUUUUAGUCGUAUAGACUCAAAUAAUUAGUAAGUUCGGAUAACUCCAACUUAUCCAAAAUAACAUAAAACUUCUGAGUACGCAGCGGAAUAAGGUUCUGAUUACAUGUAUGAAGACAUGUAACCCUAGAGUUCAUUAAUACAUAAUAAGACAAAAGAAUCCCGCUCGUCACUUCAUCACCAUCGGCAGCUGCUCAACCUGCACAUUUAGAAAUAUAUGCAGGGCUUGAGUACAAAGUACUCAGUGGGCACGUAUGCCUAAGUAUAAAAAUACAUGCUUCAAAACUGUAAAUUGUCAUGCCAUUAUAACAGUAUAGCAAGGGAGUUUUUCGCUAAAAGGCCCAAGCUUACUAAAUUCAUUUGUGAUUCUUAAAGUUCGACUGCAGUCUAAGUUCUCUUGUAAUCUAUCAUAUCUGGAACUUUGUGCCGGAGAGGUGGCCACCUCUCACGGUCACUUGACCGGCCAACCCGCUAGAUGACUCACGGUCACUGGUGUACACUAGCCCUGGCAGGAUAGCUAUCAACUGCUCAAGACCCGAAUUCGAUUACAUAACUGGCAAAGCCACAUCAGAUAGAUAUCAUACUAAAAUUAAAACAUUUUAUGGCAAGACAAUAUUUGAAAUAACUUCAAUUAAUUUAGUCAUGAAAUAACUUGUUUGAACGUAACAUUUAAACUCAUUUGAUAUAUAUGAAAGUAAUAGUCCCACCUGAUAGCAAUUUUCUGUGAUACAAAAGCUCCUCAACAGAUUAUCAAUCUCGCCCUUGACCUUUAUUACGAGAAUAUAAAUAAGAUACUGCUCGAAUAAAAUCCUCAAUUAAUGAGAAUGCGUAAUUUAACUAUGCAUGAUCCUUAUGCAUGAAUUAUUAUUCUGAGAUAAUAAUCUGGGAGACUCUAUUAUAAAUCCAAGCUAUCAGAUAAAAGCUAAGUCUCGUCUCAUGAAACCGGAUAAUUAACUAAAAUUAAUCUAUUCUCUUCAGGAGGUUAUACUCCACUGAUUAAAUAAUCUUACUCGAGGUAAUCGAUAGAAAAGAAUUAAAUAAAAACUUUAGACUUAUUCGCUUUAUAACCUCAUAAUUAAUAGGGCUUAAUAAAUAGGAACAAGUAAUGUUAUAAAAUUAAAUAAUUAAAAGGCUCAACAUAAGGCAGCCUAAUAAUUAAUUAAGUAGAAUUGGGCUUGAAUAAUUAGCAUGAGAGGCCCAAUUAAAUAUUUCAUCGGCUCAAGUAAUUAAAUAAAUCUUGGCCCAAUAAAUAAAUAAUUUGAUUAACUGGGCUCAAUUAAAUAAAUCAAACGAGGCCCAACGAAGAUAAUAUAACAGCUCAGUUAAAAAAAAUAGAUGGGCUUCAAUUUAAAUAAAUUCGGCCCAAUGAAAUAAUGUAAUAAAAGCUCAUCUGAGUAAAAUAAAUAAGGCCCAACUGAAAUGAUACAGCAGCCCAAAUAAGUGAAUAAUCAAAGGCCCAUAUAAAUAAAAUCAAAGGUCCAAUCAGUAAUUAAAAUCAGCCCAUAUAAAUAAAAUCAGAGGCCCAAUUCACAAUUUAAAAUCAGCCCAUAUAAAUUAAAAUAGGGAAAGCCCAACUAAAACACAAGAAAAUAAAUAACAAAGCCCAAUAAAAUAAUAACUAGAAGGCCCAAAUCAAUUAAAUAACAAGCCCAUUAAGCAAAGCCCAAUUUUCAUAAAUAAGGUAAAGAAGCCCCAAAUACCUUCUCCCCCAAACAUACUCGGUUCUCUCUCUCUCGCAUAACACUCUCGUUUCUCUCUCUCUUUAUUCCAAAAAGUCGAGCUCUCUCUCCCUUCAAGAAACCGCUCUCUCUCUUUUUCUUCUCUCAAAAUUGUCGGCCAUGUUCUGUUUCACUCCCUCUUGCUCAAAAUCCCAUCUCUCUCUCUCUCAAAGGAACACACUUCUGCUAUCUCUCCUCACUCACGCCUCUCUCCAUCUCGCUCUAUCUUCAGCCGAGCUCUCCCUCAAAAUACAGUCGAGCUCAGCCUCUUCCUCUUUCUUUCUCGAUCUGUUCGUCCGAGGCGAGAAGGGCGAGCCCAAAUUUCUCCCUGAUAUUGAAAUCGCCUCUGUCGCCGCUGCAACAUCCGGCGAACAGCCGGGUCUCGCUCGACCUCCUGCGUCGGCUCUUCUUCCCAAUCUGCUGAAGGGAAGCAGAAGUCCNCUGCUCUGCUGUCAUCGUUUUCAUCCUUGCUUCCCACCAGAAAUCAGCUGACCCAGUCAACUGAAAGGACAUACAAGUCAGAAGUUCUUGGUCGGUGCAACGCAGGAAGUUGAAAAUGCGUUCAAUAGCGCGAACCCAAGUUUCAGCUUCUGCCGGGUCUCCUGUCCCGUUGAAGGUAGGUGGGUUCUGUCGUAAGAAUAAUUCUUCAAUCCGUCGUUCUGGCUGAACAGGUGGUUGUACUAUUUCAGGUUCUAGUCUUGAUUCUGGGCAUCUCUCAUCAUUCCGGGGAAUCCUUCUCCCUCCUCUCGGACGCCCUCGUUUCGGUGGCAUUCUAAUGAGUCAAAACACAAGUUGUCAGCGCAUUAAAACGCAAUAAGGACAUACUAUCAUUUUUAUAGUUACUCCUUAACUCAUCGAGUUCUGCUCCUGCUAAAACUUAAGCGAACAUAUAAAUAGAACAUAGCGGAACGACUUGCCGCGAAAGACCAAUAAGGUCACUAUAUAUUCAUGGAAAUUAGUAUCAAUGAGGACUAUGUCAUAAGAAUAGUUCUUCUAUUCUAUGUUCUGGUUGUAUGGGUGGUGAGGCCAUGUUUUGUUCUAGCCCUGGUACUGUAAGUAGAAUGGUUCCAAAUAUCUGAAACUAUAAGCUGAUAGCUUUAAUCGUAAUAUUAUAACAUUAUAUACAAAGCAUUUUGACCCCUCGUAAGUCUAACUCUGAAGUUCAUACAUGAAUCAUGAAGGUUAUCCUCAAGCCAUAGCUAGUGAUAAUCGAGGCUAGAAGCGAGUCUCAGCUUAUUAGGGAUUAGCUAACUGAUUACAUCAGUCGCACUCAUCACUUAUAAUCAAUAUUGUACUUAAACUAUCAUCGAAGGCAAUAGUCGAUUAGGUGUUCCGUUUCGCGUGAACAAUCUGAAUGAAGAACUAUGCCUGCUUCAGUGAUUCGUGCGUGGCACUCUGCUUGCACUGCUUUCAUUGGAUUCUCUUCCUCUUUCUUAGCUAUUCACCAUGGCUAUAGUGAAAUAUAACUGAGUUUCUAGCUUCUAUUGUUCUUCUCGUAACAGUGAUCAUGCAUUCUUAACGCAUCUAAGUUCAUUGAGAUAUCUAAUCAAUCAAUAAAGCAUAAAACUUGAAUGUAAGCAUCAAUACAUUCAUAUAGAACGUGAACUUCUCAAUGUUUUAAAAUCAUUACCACCUUCUUUCUUGCUGAGCAUGACGAUGUGAUGAAGUGAUGAGCUUUGGUCGACUGACUCUUUCAUAGCAGUGAUCAUACUAGAAAAAUUGGUUAACUCUAGGGUUCAGAGCAAAUAAACUGCUCUGAUACCACUCUGUCACGACCGGACCUAAUUAAGGAUAAUUAAGCCGGGGAAACCGUGACUAAUGGAGGGAGAUUAGAAGCGGGGUAGAAAGGGGAAUAAUCAAACAAGAAAGGAUCGCAUUAUCAUUGUUAACAACAGGGAUAUUUAUAAUAUAACGGAGUUUUAGUCGUAUAGACUCAAAUAACUAGUAAGUUCGGAUAACUCCGACUUAUCCAAAAUAACAUAAAACUUCUGAGUACGCAGCGGAAUAAGGUUCUGAUUACAUGUAUGAAGACAUGUAACCCUAGAGUUCAUUAAUACAUAAUAAGACAAAAGAGUCCCGCUCGUCACUUCAUCACCAUCGGCAGCUGCUCAACCUGCACAUUUAGAAAUAUAUGCAGGGCUUGAGUACAAAAGUACUCAGUGGACACGUAUGCCUAAUUAUAAAAAUACAUGCUUCAAAACUGUAAAUUGUCAUGCCAUCAUAAACAGUACAGCAAGGGAGUUUUUCGCUAAAAGGCCCAAGCUUACUAAAUUCAUUUGUGAUUCUUAAAGUUCGUCUGCAGUCUAAGUUCUAUUGUAAUCUAUCAUAUCUGGAACUGUGUGCCGGAGAGGUGGCCACCUCUCACGGUCACUUGACAGGCCAACCCGCUAGAUGACUCACGGUCACUGGUGUACACUAGCCCUGGCAGGAUAGCUAUCAACUGCUCAAGACCCGAAUUCGAUUACAUAACUGGCAAAGCCACAUCAGAUAGAUAUCAUACUAAAAUUGAAACAUUUUAUGGCAAGACAAUAUUUGAAAUAACUUCAAUUAAUUUAGUCAUGAAAUAACUUGUUUGAACGUAACAUUUAAACUCAUUUGAUAUAUAUGAAAGUAAUGCCCACCUGAUAGCAACUUUUGCUUUGGUAAAGUAGCUCCUUGACUGGCUAUUAUUACUCUCGCGCUUUACCUUUAUUGUGAUGAUAUAAAGUAAGAUAUUUGCUCGAAUAAAAUCCUCAAUAAAUGAGAAUGCGUAAUUAACGAUGCAUGAUCCUCUUAUGAAUUAUUAUUCAGAAAUAAUCAGGGAAUUUAUAUUGUUAAUCCAGAUUAUCGGAUUUAAACCAAAGCUAAGUCUCAUCUCAUGAAGCCGGAUAAUUAACUAAAAUUAAUCUAUUCUCUUCAGGAUGUUAUACUCCACUGAUUAAAUAAACCCCAUUCCUCGUAGUCAAUAGAAAAUAAAUAAAUACUUCAACUUAUUCGCUUUAUAACCUCAUAAUUAAUUGGGCUUAAUAAAUAGGAACAAGUAAUGUUAUAAGAUUAAAUAAUUAAAAGGCUCAACAUAAGGCAGCCUAAUAAUUAAUUAAAUAGAAGUGGGCUUGAAUAAUUAACAUGAGAGGCUCAAUUGAAAUAAUUCAUCAACUCAAGUAAUUAAAUAAAUCUUGGCCCAAAUAAAUAAAUAAUUUGAUUAGCUGGGCUCAAUUAAAUAAAUCAAACGAGGCCCAACGAAGAUAAUAUAACAGCCCAAUUAAAAUAGAUGGCCUUCAAUUUAAAUAAAUUCGGCCCAAUGAAAUAAUGUAAUAAAAGCCCAUCUGAGUAAAAUAAAUAAAUUCAGAGGCCCAAUCAGUAAUUAAAAUCGGCCCAUAUAAAUAAAUUUAGAAGCCCAAUUCAUAAUUUAAAAUCGGCCCAAAAUUAAUAAAUAAUCCAGCCCAACUCAAGCCCACUGAAAAUAAAUAACAAAGCCCAAUAAAAUAAUAACUAGAAGGCCCAAAUCAAUUAAAUAACAAGCCCAUUAAGCACAGCCCAAUUUUCAUAAAUAAGGAAAGAAGCCCAAAUCCUUCUCCCCCAAACAUCUCGGUUCUCUCUCUCUCAGCAUAACACUCUCGUUUCUCUCUCUCUUUAUUCCAAAAAGUCGAGCUCUCUCUCCCUUCAAGAAACCGCUCUCUCUCUUUUUCUUCUCUCAAAAUUGUCGGCCAUGUUCUGUUUCACUCCCUCUUGCUCAAAAUCCCAUCUCUCUCUCUCUCAAAGGAACACACUUCUGCUAUCUCUCCUCACUCACGCCUCUCUCCAUCUCGCUCUAUCUUCAGCCGAGUUCUCCCUCAAAAUCAGUCGAGCUCAGCCCCUUCCUCUUUCUUUCUCGAUCUGUUCGUCCGAGGCGAGAAGGGCGAGCCCAAAUUUCUCCCUGAUAUUGAAAUCGCCUCUGUCGCCGCUGCAACAUCCGGCGAACAGCCGGGUCUCGCUCGACCUCCUGCGUCGGCUCUUCUUCCCAAUCUGCUGAAGGGAAGCAGAAGUCCUAAUCUUCCUCGCGGAUUUUGAACCACCUCCCUCAGCUCGGCGCCGCGGCGUUCUGUGAACCCGGUGAAUUUCAGUCUCCGUCCAGUUCUCUGUCCACCUCCGGCGAACAGCCGAUUCUCGUUCGUCUUCAGAAUCUCCCUCCGUCGUCGAGCCCUAAGUUUCAAAAAGGGCAGAACGCCGUUGCCGAGCGUCCGCUGCUGCUGCGCUCGAGCCCUUGCUCGGCCAUGGUUCAGGUCAGCUGCUGUUGUGUGAUUUCCGGCGAGCAGGGGAGGGUCCACCUUUGCUGUCGCUGUUCCCGGCGAAGGGUGUCGCCUUCGUUGUUCUCCGGGGUCGAUGGGGUUCGAGUUGCGCCCCACGCCGCCGCUGCUGCCGUUCUCGGACUUCUCCGUCGAAAGUCUGCCGCCUCCGUCGAUUCCCCGAGCCCCGACGUCGCUGCUGUAACUCAGAUUCCGACAAGGCAGCUCGCUGUCGUCUUCCUUGAGCUCGACUAUACAGGGCAGUCGGCCCUAUUCCUUAAGCUAAGUUCUUUAGUUUCAUUCUUCCUUUUUAUCGAUUCGAAAACGUGAACUAGACAAGGUGAAAUCUUCUUGUUUUGCAUAACUCAAAUUAUGCUCGUUUACUCCUAUGUAAUCUGUCACUUGUUCAUGAUCGCAUAGUUGGGUGUUUACUAAGUUCAAGAUUCUUAUAACUUGCUAUUCUAGAGUGCAUCAGAUUGUGAAACUUAUGAUCACUCUACUGUACGACAUAUCUUCCCUAUUUGAUGCAGAUGAACUGUGAUAUGUAAGAUAUGGAUGUGAACUGAAUUGAAUAUUAGGAUAGCAUGAUUACCUUGAAUGUUUGUGCUUUUGGUUGGCUGCGGUGAUGUUGAGUUCAAUGAGAAGAUAGCUGAAAACAAAUUGUGUAUUUUGUUUGCUUAACAAUGCAGGAGGAACUUAGGAAGAAACUGGAGAGGAUCAGGUCAAUCUUACCUCUCGAAUCUUGCAGCAAUUAUGACAACUUCCUCAAGCUGUUGAUGCGUAAAGAGAGAAGGAUUUGGUGGGUGAUAUAAUAAGGAGUGAAGUUGGUGGCUGUAAAGGGAGGAAAGCAUGGCUUUUGGUGGUUGAAGAGGUGGGGAACAAAGGAUGGUGGCAGCACACUUAUUUCUUUCCACUAACUCUAAUGAUUUUCCUUUAUUGCUUUAAUGAUUUUCCUUUAUUGAUUCCUUGUCGGCUGAUGGUAUUAAACAAGGAAUGGUGUUGCAUUUGAUGUGUAGUAAUGUGGGAUAUGGCUGAAGUAAAGCUCUUGCCUCUUGGGAAUUAUAAACUUGUAGUACAGUAACGCGCUUAAUGAAAUACUAAUCUUGAAUUCUUACUAAUGUAGCGUAUAUAUAUAUAUACUCGCACGAUAUUUGAUUUCUUGCUUGCUAGCAUCGAUGGACUGUAAAAUAAAUCUAAAUUAAAUCCGUAGAUUUAAUUCUCCUCACAAGCCGGAAAUAAUCCACGACUUAAGUAAUUAUAAAUAAUAGAAUCGAUAGUCUCAUCUCGCUUAAUUAAUUAACGUGACUUUGCUAAGUCAGUUAUAACUCUGAAAUAAUAUCAUUGACUGCUUUAAUAAUAUGAAUUCAGGAUCAUAAGCUGAAUUCAUAUCAGGAUAAUAAACGUUUUCAUUCACUGAUGAACAAAAAUAAACACUCAUUACUGGAUUUAAAAUAUAUAAAAGAGCGGGUCACUACAUAAACUGAGCCCAAUUGAAAAUUAAUGGCCCAAACUGAAACAAAAAUAAACAAAAACUCGGCCCAAUACUCAAACCUAGCCUAGCCCAAAACUCCCUCCCUUCUUCUCCCCCCAUCAGCCGCACACACACUCACAACUGCAGAUAAUUGCGUUUGUCCCACGAUUUGUUGCCGUUUCCAGUUAGCCCGUUGAGUAGCCUACUUUAGUAACUCCUUCUCUCUCUAGCGGUGAAUCUUCAACAGCCCUGAUACCUCCGGGACUUAGGGACGACGACGAGCGCCGUCGACUCCCUCUCUCUCUCUGAAUCAGUCCGGCGAGCAACCAUGAAGGUCGUCGCCGUCCUCUCCUUCGGUUCUCUCUCAAAUCUCCCCCCCUGUUAACAGAUCUGGAGGGCGCGGUCAGUGGCUCCACGCCACCACCGUCCGAGUCGUCUCCCUCCUUGGAAACGGCGAGAUCGCCGCUCCCUCCCUCUCUCUCUGCUCUCCCUCCGUCCGUGGCCGGACGACAGCGGCAGGGCCGCCGCGCCCUGACCUCCACAAAUCCCCAGCCCAGACCAGCCACCGCCCCAGCCCCUGUUCCCGAUUGCCGAAGUGUCGCAGCCCGCCUUAACUAAGGAUAGUUAAGCCGAGUGAUCUACGACUAGGGAUGGGGUUAAAGAAUAAGGGGAAGAAAGGGGCAUCAUUUGGAACCGUAAAUCUUACUCAACUUAAGAAAACUCGUCGUAUCUACUCAUUAAUACUCAAUUGAAAAGAGUCUAUGAAAGACAACAUAAAAACUUAAUUAAUACUCCCUCCGUCCGCGAUAUCGUUUCCACAUUUGCCAUUUCGGUCCGUCCGCGAUAUCGUUUCCACUUCCAUUUAUAGAAGUAGGGUCCACAAACUUCCACUCACAAUAAUAGUGGGACCCAAACUCCACUCACUACAUAUGCACUACUAUCCACUAAUUUUCUUAAAACCCGCGCCGUCCACAAUGUGAAAACGAUAUCGCGGACGAAGGGAGUAUCAUUAAUCAAGUUAUACAUCAGAUGAAACCAUUAUCUUAAGACUCAAAGUAUGACAUAACAUACUAUAACAUCAACAACAUCUUGCAGCGGAAAGUAGCUAGACAUAUGUAUGAAGACAUAUUCUAGACAGGUUAACUAUUUAUUAACAACCCUGGAGACUCCGCCCAUUGCAGCACCAUCACCACAUCAGCUCAACCUGCACAUUUAGAAAACAUAUGCAGGGCUGAGUACAAAAGCACUCAGUGAACACAUNAAGAGCCAAUUAAAUAAAAGACUGGCCCAAUUCGAAUUUAAAUAUGAAAGCCCAAGCAAUUAAAAUUGGAAGCCCAAUUUCAUUAAAAAUAAUCUCAAAAUUUCGGCCCACAUAAAUUAGAGGAAAGCCCAAACAAUUAAAAUUAAUCAAGCCCAAAGAAUUAAAUGAAAAGGCCCAAUCACAGCCCAAAUACUAAAAUAAAUAAAGCCCAAAUCCUUCUCCCCCAAACAUCUCGGUUCUCUCUCUCAGCAUAACACUCUCGUUCUUUCUCUCUUUAUUCCAAAAAGUCGAGCUCUCUCUCCCUUCAAGAAACCGCUUUCUCUCUUUUUCUUCUCUCAAAAUUGUCGGCCAUGCUCUAUUUCACUUCCUCUUGCUCAAAAUCCCAUCUCUCUCUCUCUCAAAGGAAACACACUGCUGCUAUCUCUCCUCACUCACGCCUCUCUCCAUCUCGCUCAAAAUCAGUCGAGCUCAGCCGAGUUCUCUCUCUCAAAAAUCACUCACGCCUCUCUCCAUCUUCCUCUUCAGCCGAGUUCUCCCUCAAGAUCAGUCGAGCUCAGCCCCUUCCUCUUUCUUUCUCGAUCUGUUCGUCCGAGGCGAGAAGGACGAGCCCAAUUUCUUCCUGAUAUUGAAAUCGCCUCUGUCGCCGCUGCAACAUCCGGGUCUCGCUCGACCUCCUGCGUCGGCUCUUCUCACUCUCAAAGAAACACACACACAGACGCACAUCUCACCCUCUCACGCGAUCUGCUGCCGCUGCCUGAGACCCGCGAAGGAUCCGGCGCAACCGCCGCCGACAAAUGUUGCUGUUGCCGCUGCUGUCUGAGAUCGGUGGUCCGCCUGCUGGAGGAACGCCGCUGCCGUCAGCUCGUCCGAAGUCGCCGCCAACUACCGCUGCCGUUUCGCCGGAGUCGCGGCCUGGAGCUGCUGCAGCUCGAGCCCUUGCUCGGCCAUGGUUCAGGUCAGCUGCUGUUGUGUGAUUUCCGGCGAGCAGGGGAGGGUCCACCUUUGUUGUCGUUGUUCCCGGCGAAGGGUGUUGCCUUCGUUGUUCUCCGGGGUCGAUGGGGUUCGAGUUGCGCCUCACGUCGCCGCUGCUGCCGUUCUCGGACUUCUCCGUCGAAAGUCUGCCGCCUCCGUCGAUUUCCCGAGCCCCGACGUCGCUGCUGUAACUCGGAUUCCGACAAGGCAGCUCGCUGUCGUCUUCCUUGAGCUCGACUAAACAGGGCAGUCGGCCCUAUUCCUUAAGCUAAGUUCUCUAGUCAUUCUCCUUUUAUCGAUUCGAAAACGUGAACUAGACAAGGUGAAAUCUUCUUGUUUUGCAUAACUCAAAUUAUGCUCGUUUACUCCUAUGUAAUCUGUCAUUUGUUCAUGAUCGCAUAGUUGGGUGUUUACUAAGUUCAAGAUGCUUAUAACUUGCUAUUCUAGAGUGCAUCAGAUUGUGAAACUUAUGAUCUCUCUACUGUAGGACAUAUCUUCCCUAUUUGAUGUUGAUGCAGAUGAACUGUGAUAUGUAAGAUAUGGAUGUGAACUGAAUUGAAUAUUAGGAUAGCAUGAUUACCUUGAAUGUUUGUGCUUUUGGUUGGCUGCGGUGAUGUUGAGUUCAAUGAGAAGAUAGCUGAAAACAAAUUGUGUAUUUUGUUUGCUUAACAAUGCAGGAGGAACUUAGGAAGAAACUGGAGAGGAUCAGGUCAAUCUUACCUCUCGAAUCUUGCAGCAAUUAUGACAACUUCCUCAAGCUGUUGAUGCGUAAAGAGAGAAGGAUUUGGUGGGUGAUAUAAUAAGGAGUGAAGUUGGUGGCUGUAGAGGGAGGAAAGCAUGGCUUUUGGUGGUUGAAGAGGUGGGGAACAAAGGAUGGUGGCAGCACACUUAUUUCUUUCCACUAACCUUAAUGAUUUUCCUUUAUUGCUUUAAUGAUUUUCCUUUAUUGAUUCCUUGUCGGCUGAUGGUAUUAAACAAGGAAUGGUGUUGCAUUUGAUGUGUAGUAAUGUGGGAUAUGGCUGAAGUAAAGCUCUUGCCUCUUGGAAAUUAUAACUUGUAGUACAGUAACGCGCUUAAUGAAAUACUAAUCUUGAAUUCUUACUAAUGUAGCGUAUAUAUAUAUACUCGCACGAUAUUUGAUUUCUUGCUUGCUAGCAUCGAUGGACUGUAAAAUAAAUCUAAAUUAAAUCCGUAGAUUUAAUUCUCCUCACAAGCCGGAAAUAAUCCACGACUUAAGUAAUUAUAAAUAAUAGAAUCGAUAGUCUCAUCUCGCUUAAUUAAUUAACGUGACUUUGCUAAGUCAGUUAUAACUCUGAAAUAAUAUCAUUGACUGCUUUAAUAAUAUGAAUUCAGGAUCAUAAGCUGAAUUCAUAUCAGGAUAAUAACCGUUUUCAUUCACUGAUGAACAAAAAUAAACACUCAUUACUGGAUUUAAAAUAUAUAAAAGAGCGGGUCACUUCAAGAAUGGUUAAUGUUUAUUGUCUGAUAAUAGUUAGGCAUAAUAUAAAAAAACUAGCAACAUAAGAUGCAUUUACUAAGAAAAUCUCCUUCUAUAGUAGUAUAUUACUAGGCUUACACCAAUUCAACUUGCAUUUUAUGCAACCAUUCUCCUUUUCUCAUAGAACGCCUAUUGAAAUAAACAAACUUGUACAUCUUAUGGUUUCGUAGCCCUGCAUAUAUACUCGUGCAAUCUAGUUGGACUUUCAUUGCAUAAAGAUAAACACACACAUGAUUAAUUAGAGUUGGACUUUCAUUGCAUAAAGAUAGACACACAUGAUUAAAACGUAUUAUUAUGUUAAGAUUUUGCAAUAAAAUGAAUGAGAGUUUUAUUUUCAUGCUUUUUAACUACUUCCAUCUAUCAUCAUUGUUUCACUUUGGGAUAAAUGCUACAUUAGCAGAUGCUUACUCCCUUUGUGUUCAUGCCUAACUUGGUACAAACAUUUUUUUUCUUUUUGGGGAUUAAAGUUUGGUACAACUUCUAACAUUAUAUUUUAAUGGUAUUCAAUUAAUAUUUACAACCUGCAUCAAAUAGUUAAAAACAACGAGGAAGUUGGAUCAUUUUAUUGUGAAAAAACGUGUGCCUUAACUCAGAGAAGGACAUUACAAAUGCAUCAAAUGAAAGCAUUUUCAAAUCCAUAUCACAUUUCAAACAUGUCCGUGAAGAUUCACUUCAAACUUUUUUAAUGGGAAUCAAGAAAUAGUUGAAAUACAAGUGCCGAAAUUGGGGAGUGGUAGAUCAUUUCCCUCAAUUUCAUUUUAUGUUUCAAACUUGUAAGUAAAAAAAAAAAAUUACUUCACAUAUAGUGAACGUUAUAAUAGUGCGCAUACAUAUAUAAUGCAUUUAGUGGGAAAACCUGAGCAACCAACUCAACCUAAGAUUGGAGAUUCCUAACAAUACAUUUUUUAUUUUUUAGAUUGCGAAAGCGCAAAAAUAUGUUAGAAAUGUGAUAUGGUGUUAUUCGCCAUAAAGCACAUAGAUUUUGUAUUAGAAACUAUAGUUUCUCUUUGUAAUGAGAUCUCUCUAUAGUUGCAUAUAUAUAUAUAUAUAUAGGGAGUGGUUCUAUUGAGAAGCUAUAUAUUGUUGAGAAGUUGAGAAGCAAUCUAAUAGAUGAACAUGUCAAUACAUUUUGAUGAACAUGACAAUUAGACCCUAGAUCAAUAAAUUCUUUGAACAUACCAAAUAUAACUGACGAACAUACGAAUCUAUUUAAUUUGUUAAAAAAUAUCCACCGCCAAGGAUCGAACCCCAGAUCAAACCCGCGUUCAUAAAAACUAAUCAACAUGUUCAUCUAUUGGAUUGCUUCUCAACUUCUCAACACAUUUGAGCUUCUCAAUAAAACCUAACCCUAUAUAUAUAUAUAUAUAUAUAUAUAUACACAUACUANNNNNNNNNNNNNNNNNNNNNNNNNNNNNNNNNNNNNNNNNNNNNNNNNNNNNNNNNNNNNNNNNNNNNNNNNNNNNNNNNNNNNNNNNNNNNNNNNNNNNNNNNNNNNNNNNNNNNNNNNNNNNNNNNNNNNNNNNNNNNNNNNNNNNNNNNNNNNNNNNNNNNNNNNNNNNNNNNNNNNNNNNNNNNNNNNNNNNNNNNNNNNNNNNNNNNNNNNNNNNNNNNNNNNNNNNNNNNNNNNNNNNNNNNNNNNNNNNNNNNNNNNNNNNNNNNNNNNNNNNNAUUUAUUUUUUUUUUAAUUUUUUUUUUCAUUUAUCAUCUAAUAAAUUGGUCAAAUAUAAUAAUACAAAAAUAUUAAAAUUAAAUAUAUAUUGAAAUACAAGUGAAAAUUUAAACAUUGAUUAUUACUAAGAAUUCAAGAUUCCUAUAGUAAGAAACUUAUAAUUAUAACUUAAGAAUGUUAAUUUGAUUAGUGAUCCACUUGAUUAGUGAUCCACUCAUCAAUCAUCACUAAUCUAAUAUUAUUACUAAGCAUUCAAGAUUAUUAGUAAGAACUUAUAAUUAUAACUUAAUAAUGUUAAUUUGAUUAGUGAUUCACACAUCACUCAUCACUAAUGUAAGAUAUUACUUAAGAAUUCAAGAUUCUUAGUAAGAAUCUUAUAAUUAUAACUUAAGAAUGUUAAUUAGAUUAGUGAUUCACUCAUCAAUCAUCACUAAUCUAAUAUUAUUACUAAGCAUUCAAGAUUGUUAGUAAGAAACUUAUAAUUAUAACUUAAUAAUGUUAAUUUGAUUAGUGAGUUACUCAUCACUCAUCACUAAUCUAAGAUUAUUACUAAGAAUCUAAGAAACUUAUAAUUAUAACUUAAUAAUGUUAAUUUGAUUAGUGAUUCACUCAUCACUCAUCACUUAUCUAAGAUUAUUACUAAGAAUUCACUAUUGUUAGUAAGAUUCUUAUAAUUAGUAACUUAAGAAUAGCUAAUUUGAUUAGUGAUUCACUCAUCAAUCAUCACUAAUCCAAGAUUAUUACUAAGAAUUCAAGAUUCUUAGUAAGAAACUUAUAAUUAGUGAUUCACUCAUCAAUUGUCACACCCCAAUUCUUGAAAGAAUAAAUAUAAUCGAGGUAUAAAUAAUUCAUAGAAAUAAACAAGGGAAAUACCUUGUUAAAACCCGAAAUAGGAUAGAAAGUCGGGCUAUGCCCCUUUGGAUCACAAGUUUUGUUUCAUGCUUCUGACAACCGACAUUCAUUGGCAUAAAUUUAGUAGUGAAGAGUCUAAGCUCGGUCAGGUAUAUCAUUUGAAAUUUAAAAUGAAGAUCUUAAGUUGGGAAAACAAAAGACUGAUAUGAGUAAUUGCUACAGCGGAAGUCUAACAUAGGAAUUUAUCGCUAGCCUCAGCUCCGUCCCGUCAGCACCGGCCAGCCAACCUGAAAACAUUUGAAAGUAUUUUUGGGCUAAGUACUAAUGUACUUAGUGGGCAUGCAUUUUCUGAAACAUUUCAUAUUUUCGUAAAGAGCAGUUUAUCCAAUCAUACUUGACAUGACUUAGAAGGUUUUAAAUUGAAAUAACUUCUAAGCAUGUUAAAACAUUUUUCAUUUGUGCGCACAUGUCACACUCCCUUUCUGUUACUCGCUGUGAUCCCGGACCUUUUAGCCACCGACGGAUCCAUUUCUCCCAUUUCACUUGCCCUGAGGACGUAACUCAGACAAGUGUACCCAUACAGGCCUUACAUGAUACAUGCUCCGGAACACAUCCAGCCGAGCACCCUUAUAACGCCUCUUACAUGAAUUAGUGCCCGAUGGAGAUCAACCCACCGAAACAACUAACAAGUGUACACAAUUCUCAAAUAACGUGUUAGGCCAUAAGAGAACCUCGAUCGAUCCAUGAAUUGCGAGCCUUAAACAGAGCAGAGUGCACAUAAACAUUUUAUUGGAUAAACAGUUUUCAUUACAUUAAAUAAACAAUUUGCAUUUCAUUGAAACAUUUAGAGCUUAAUAACUCAAUCAUACUUUGUACAUUUGGAAAGUAAGCCCACCUGGUUAGGCAAAGCCUGAAGAUCAUAAUCACAUAUAAACCUGUCUUGGGAAAGCAGCGCUAAUCCCCCUGGUCACAAAGCCUACAAGAAAUUCUAUUCUUAAUAGGUCUCGUGAAGCUAAUCUUAAGUCAUGGUGUAGUGCUUAAUAUUCUAUAAUUCACUUAGCCGGGUUUUUAAACUUUAAUGAAUAAAUAAUUGAAAACAUUUCUCUUGAGUUAAGAACACCAACAAUAUUCUUACUCAUCUUUCUUUAAUAAUUGGAAUUAUAAAUAAAACCAAUUAAAUCUUAAAUACUCUUAUUGCAAAAAUAUAAUGCAAAUUCAUGUCAUGCUUGGCAUAUAAUAAGAAAUUACUUAAAAUAUGCGUAUAAUAAUAAUUUAAUAUUAUUAUGAAAAUUAAAAAAAUAAUUAAUCAAACUUAAAGAAGUCUAAUUAAUUUAAUAGUGCAGUCCAUUUAAAAAAAAAAAAAACAAUCUGCAUAGCUUAACUAAAUAAAAAUGGAUUGGGCUCAAUAAUUCAAUUAAUAGUCAACCCAAGGUUUUUUUUUUUUUUUUAAAAAAAUUUUCAGCCCAUUUUAGAUAAAAAUCGGCCCAACUCCCAUGGCCCAAUCCUAAGCUAAGCCCUAGCCCAUUUCUCCUCCCCCCUUUCCCAUAUCAAACACACGCACACACACAUUCAGAAACACACACACACAUGCAGCUGCUGCUGCUGCGCAGCAGCCUUCCCCUCCUCGCCUUCUUCUCUCCUCCGGCGGACGGUAGCAGCGCCGGCCGCCGCCGCCGCCAUCCCUGACUUCCCUAUCCCUCGCCCUUGCUCUCUCUUUCUUCCUCACCUCUCUCGACUGCUCUCUCGCCCUCGACUGCUCUCUCGCCGCGGACGCUCGCCGGAGCGAGCGGCGACAACCACUGCCCCUCGGUUCUCCCUUCUCUCGGUUCAAAACAGAGGAUCACCGCCUCCGUCCAUCUCUCUCUCACCGUGGUUGGAAGGUAGCGGCAGAGCCGCCGUGCCCUAUCCCCCUUCUCUCUGACUUCCGCCAGACCCCAUUGCCGCUGCUACUCCAUCGUGCCCGGCGACGAGCGCCGCUCCGGCUACUUCUCCCUCGAGCCCCCCUGUCACUCCCCCUGCUCCCUCUCCUCCUUGACGACGACGGACGCCGCCGCCUGAAGCUCUAGGCUAAGCCUCCCCCGACUGACAGACGCUCACAACACAGACCAUGACUCCCUCCCCUCUCAGUUUUUCGCCCUUGGCCGGACAGCAGCAGGAGAAUCACCGCCGCCGACCGCAUCUCUCUUCUCGACUCAUACAGCCAACAACCACAUCAAGGUUCGAAAUCAAAUCAAGACAAAGCUUCAAGACUCUAUUUUUAUUCUUCUUUUUAUUCAUUUUCGAUUUUCAUCAUUGUAAACCAUUUGAUAUGUUUGCUUAAACACAUAUAUGAGUAUGUAUAUAAAUAUAUAUAAAUGAAUGUAUGCAUAUGUGUUUCUCUGUGAAUUUUGGUGAAGGUAUGUAUGGCUGUGAUUUGUGUGUGAAAGUAAUGGACGUGUCUCAUUCAAUAUUGUAAAAACAAGUCAUGUAGUUUAAAGAAGAAGAAGAUGAAACCUUGGGGAUGUUCUGUUCAAAGAUAUGAAUUUGCUUUGAUGUUGAAGCUAUGAAACUGCUUGACUGUUUUAAAAAAAAACAUGAGCUCCUCCUCGGCAGAAUGAGUUGUGGGAAUUAUGAAUGGAGAAUAUAAGAAUUUGGCUGAUAUACCUUACGUAUAUUAUAAGCUGCAAAAUGUUGGGUGUAAAGGAAAAGGUGGAGGAUGGGAUUUUUGCUGAAAGUGGGAGGAAAGGUGGAGGAUGCAACUUUUGCUGAAAGUGUUUUGAUAUAAAAAUUAAAGGGGCAUAGUUGGUGGAGAGUAGUGGGUGUGGGAGUAGGUGGGUGAAAUAAAAUAAAAUAAAAUAAAAAGUCUUCCGGGUUGUACUAUGAAAACUGUAAUAAUUCUUCAGGGUUUGCUGACUAAAAGCUCGUGAAAAUGCUUUGAAUGCUAAAUUAAAUAAAUAUGCGACGCACAUAAAUUUAAUAACUAAAUUUACAAAUAUAUUUUUUUUUAAAUCUACUUUUGUUGGAAUUAAAAUAAAAUUUAAUUUUCUAUAUAUCCGGCGUGAAUCAUCCUGACUUCUAAGUUCAAAAUUACUCUAAAUUUAGCUAGGAAAAAGCGGGGUGUUACAGUGAUUCACACUUCACUCAUCACUAAUCUAAGAUUCUUACAAAGAAUUCAAGAUUCUUAGUAAGAAUCUUAUAAUUACUCCUUCUGUCCCAUUAAUAAAGACAGUUCUUUUGAGCACGAGAAUUUAAGAGAGUUAAAUUAGGGAGUAAAAUAUAUUAGCUUAUUUAUUUAAUACAUUUAAUAUUAAUCUUGUUUAAUUCUUCUUUUUCUCUCUUAGUUCCACCAUUGUUGUAACCUCUUUUUACUAUCUUUUCUCCUCCGGCGGAAUCGCCGGCGACCACCACCGCUGACCACCGUCGAAACAGCAAGAGAAAAAUUGAAAUCUGCCAUUUCCAUUCCUUACAUUCCUAUUCCCAAAUUUGAACCAUGAAAACCGAAUCAAAUCCAGAAAUCCAGAAAUUUGAACCAUGAAAAUCGAAUCUAGAAAUCGAAACAACACAACCAAAAAUCGAAUCAACACAACCAGAAAUUGAAACAACACAGCUAGAAAUUUUGUUUUCCCCGAUUCCCAAAUUUGAACCAUGAGAAUGGCGGCGGAGAUGGAGGGUUUCAGAAGGAGGGUGGUGGCCUCACCGCUGCGGCGGCCGGAGAAGGAGAAGAGAGGGGGAUGUGUGGCGGUUUCAGACCCGCACGUAUCUCGAGCUACGUCUCCGCCUCCCCAGAACCAGAUCCACCACUAUCUUUCUCUCUCAAAUCGAACCUAGAAAUUGAGGGUGGUGGUUUGGCGGAUUUGGGUUUUUGGGAGAAUGAGACCGGAGACCAGAGCCGCUACUUUUCAGCGGGGCUAGGUCUCGGCCCUCUGCCCCCAUCAGUGUGUGCACGAGCGAUCGGAGUCUCACCGGAGGGACGAGGGGUGCUCGGCGGUGGUCGUGGGUCGCCGACGGCGACUCUGCCGAGAAGAGGGAGGAGAUGGGCGGCGGGUUGGGAGUGGAGAGAAAUGAGGGAGGCAGCUGAAAUGUGUAGAUUAGGGUUCAAUUAAUUAGUUAUAAUUAAGUCCUAAAUAUUUCAUUAUUUAGAAGUGUGUCUUUAUUAUUGGAACAACCCAAUAAGGAAAGUGUGUCUUCAUUAUUAGGACGGGAGGGAGUAUAACUUAAGAAUGUUAAUUUGAUUAGUGAUUCACACUUCACUCAUCACUAAUCUAAGAUUCUUACUAAGAAUUCAAGAUUCUUAGUAAGAAUCUUAUAUUAUAACUUAAGAAUGUUAAUUUGAUUAGUGAUUCACACUUCAAUCAUCACUAAUCUAAGAUUCUUACAAAGAAUUCAAGAUGUAAUAAUAAUAAUAAUAAUAAUAAUAAUAAUAAUAAUAAUAAUAAUAAUAAUAAUAAUAAUAAUAAUAAAAUUAAUUAAUAAAUAUUUUUUUCGACAUAAAAAUAGGACGAAAACGAGACCGAUCAAUAAUUAACGAUAUCUCUUGGAUAUCAUCUAGACAUAUUCUAAGGUUAUGUAUGUAUAUUGUAUAUUGUAUAUUGAAAUAGAGUUUAAUUAAAUGAAUUAAUAGGUACUAGAUAUAUCAAUAAUACGAGUGUUCUGUACUGGUGACCACUCGAAAGGAACUUAAAGAUUAAGCGUGCUUGAAUUAGAGCACAACUAAGAUGGGUGACCGACUGAAAAGUUCGUCUAACGUAUGCAAUACUAUAUAAAUACGAAAAUACUUGUGUGAAAUAAAAAAAUAAAAAAAAUAAUAAUAUAAAAAAAUAAAUUAAAAAAAAUUACUGGCGGCACAUAGCCGUAGCUAAUCACAUGCGGCCGACGCCGCCGGUAACACUCCGACAAUCCGGCGAGGGUCGCCACCGCCGUCCGGUGAACAUUACCGGCGGCGGUGCGCCGCCGCUAAUUACCGACGACAAUUGCCGCCGGUAACCUUCCAACAAAGGUCCGCCGAUCAACGGCAACAUUCACCGGCGGCAUUGCCGCCAUUAUUUACCGGCGAUGGCCGAUGGUCAUUUGCCGUUGGUAUUGUGAUCACCGGCAAGGAUGUUACCGACGACAGCUCGCCGCUGGUGAUUGUAAUUAUCGGGGGCCGCCCUAAAUUACUGUCGGCAAAUGGCCGCCGGUAAUCCCGCGUUUUUUUGUAGUGUGUAGACAUGCAUUCACCUAAAAGAGUGGAUAAGCCGACCUCAUCCGAACGAUUCUUGACUUAAGUCCCCCCAUAUGCAUCGGGUGGCUCAUUCCCAAGGCGGCUUGAGCCGGCAAUGAGCCACCACCGAUGUGGAUGUUCUUAGACUCUUAACUUUCAAGUGUAUAUUCCAGAUAAAACUAGUGAUAUCCUAGGUUUAGCUAUGUUGUUAAUUGAUUAACAACAUUUGAUAUCUUUCUUUCUUCAUUCAUAGGGGCGUGCGUUGCCCAACUUGUGUCCCAUUAUUCGGACUCAGCAAGGCUUGUUCCUUGGUUAUUUCUAUGAAAUGGUUGUACCUUGAUUACAGUUAUUUCUUCAAGAAUUGAGGUCACCACUAUAGAUUGUACAUAAAAGCAUGGCUUUUAAAAAAAUGAAGUUGUAUUUUUUUUUCUUUUAAGAAAUAUGAAGUUGGUUUCUAUGUUGCAUAAACAUGUGCGAAAAAAAAUUAUGGUUGAUGGUAAGUGUUUUAAAAAGUCUAUGAUGUGGUGAUGCGACAACUAAAAUCAUUUUGUCAAGCUUACGGAUCUGUAAUAAUUUUCUUGGGUCUCGCUAAUUUUAUCGCUUUGUUAUAAAAUGGCUUCGAAUUAAAAUCUUUAAUUUAAUUCAUGCUACAAAUCGGAAUUAAAUCAUGACUUAAAUUAAAAAAUAAUAUCUCUAUCGUAAUAGUUAAAUAACGUGAUUUUAACAAAGCAGUUAUUAAUCUACAUAAAAGAAUUAUUGACUCGCUCAAUAAUCGGAUUGUGAUUCCCGCGUGUAGUUAAUAGAUAGAAGUAAAAUCACUCGUUUUGGAUUUUGUAUUGAUAUUUCAAUUCAAAUAACUUAAUUAACUUUAUCUGAUAAUCAUAAUCUACAUGAUCAUAACUAGAAUAUGUAAAAUAUAAAUACUGCAUUUAGUUGUCUUAAAUAUCAUAUAUACCAGACUUAACUCAAUAUUUAAAAAUCAACGUCAGAGCUGAUAUAAUGUUUCAAAUAUAAGAUUUUCUAAGUAACUAACACGAGUAACCUAAUCACAACACUUUCGCACUCGAAGUUACCAGUUGGAUGUAGGUUAGCUAACUGAUCUCAUACUUAAUAAGACAAAGUAUCUAAAUAAAGUUAGUUCGCCGAUCGUGUGUUGAUCUGAGUUAGCUAAAGCUAGUUGAUAAGUCUUAGUUGGUUAAAUUGAACAAGCAAUGUCAUAAAAAAAUGGGUAAAUAUCACUUUAAACCCCAAACUAUUUUCGCACUAUCAAUUAUAUUCUGAACUAUUAAAAAUAAUUUUUUAAACCUUGAACUAUUAAUUUUAUAUCAAUUGUACCCUUUAUCCAUUUUUCAUCCGUUGAAUUUUUAAUGAGUAAUGCAUAUAAUCAUGUCGCUUUAUAUAAUAUAGGUCAAAAAAAGAAUGAUUCAAAAUAUAUUGUAACACCCGGUGAGCCACGUCAAAUUUAUAAGCUAAAAAAAUGAACGAAUGGUACAAUUGAUAGUUCAAGGUUUAAAAAAUUAUUUUCGAUAGUUUAGGAUAUAAUUGAUAGUGCGAAAAUAGUUUGGGGUUUAAAGUGAUAUUUACCCUAAAAAAAUUUAUGAAUGAUAUAUUUUUCCUCUAUAUCAAUAUUUAAUCAUGCGGCACAAAACAUGCACCAUUUUUUAACAAGAUUUUUGUGCACCAUUUGGUCAAUCUUGUGCAAAAGUGUCUCACCAAAUUUGGAGUUUCUAUAUCAUAAUAAAUUACUAUCAAAUCUAAUUAAGUUCUAGCACAACAUAAAAUCUUUUUGCAUUGUUCUAAUCUUUCCCGAUUAAAAAGAAAAUGUGCAAUUUUUUUCUUUUUUACGAUCUCCACCUUUUGCUGCUUAUUUUGCACGGAAUAAACUUACCUUGAGGUGCAGAUCCUCCCUUUCUCUGCUGUCGCCGCCGCCUUGUACGAACUCGCAGAUGAGCUUGUCCCCUAUUCCCGCCAAAUUCGAUCUGCAGAGGGCUUUCCACCCUCCAUGGUAGUUCACCCGACCAUCCUUCCACGAUGUGCGCUUCGUCUCGAACUUUCUCCCUACCGAAUCCACGAGCAACAUCGUCUCCGGGAGUUGUAGCUUGUAGGACUUCACCACAUCCGCCGGAAUGUACUGUCGUCAUAGCCCAAAACAAAACACGUCAUGCAAUGUACAAAAUUAAAUGACACAUAAAUUAAUAUUAGGACACUUAAUUACCAUCUCAUUGACUCUCUUUUCUCUCACAUCCGCCACGAAGUAAGGGUUCGUGGGCGGGCGGGCUCGCCCAGAUUUAAAAAUCUCGGCACCGUAGAAAUCCUGCUUCUUCUUCCUUUUUCCAAGCACGCUACCACCGGCGGGCUCCCCAACCUCCCAUUUUAUUGAAGGUAUGUUAUCAAUGUCGUCGGCAGCCUCGAUCUUCACUUCCGUUUUGACAUCCUGUGGUUUGGUGGUUCGGACCUCCUCGAGACACUCGACUUCGUCAUCUUCACAACGGGAGGGACUCAGAACUUUGAAAUCGAGUACACCUUUAGAAGAGGAUUGGUAGAAUAACACGUCGCCCCUUUCAAUCAUGUUAUCUUCUACAAAUUUCACCCAACCAUCUGUAAAAUACCAACCAUCGCGAAAUUUUUCUAUCUUGAGGUGCCACAAAUUGUUACUGCAGUCGCGCAGGGCCAAAUCUUGCGGCUCACUUCCUUCAAUAGACUCCACAAAGAUGGAGGGAACUCUCUGAAUUAAAACAAGUGAAAUUAUAUAUAUCAACACUACGGCCACAACCACAAAUAUUGCCAGAGAUCAAAUAUUAUAACCAGCAAGCAUUUGCGUGCAUCUUUGUGCAAACUCGAAAAUUGGAAUACAAUAAAUAAAGAUUGAUUGAACUAUCUCUAAUUAUAUGUUAUUAGAUUGACAUAUGAAAUAAACAUAUAUCAGCCUCUACACAUAAAAGUGAAAUAUAUGUUGUAUUGUUCCAAAAACUAACCAAAAGGAAAUAUAUAUACUCAUCUAUCAAAACCUCUCACAUCUACGUGAAUAAUGACGUAUUUAUAAUCUUUAUCAAAUUAUAUGAAAAUUAAUUCACUUAUAGCAACUUUAAGUUUAAAAAUGUUUGUAAUUUACGUCUGUUAUGUAUCUUUUCUCUCUCUUUUUUCUUCUUCUUUACAUUUACCAUUGAUUGGUUGUUAAUUUGGAAGAAGUUCCAAUUCUCAAUGUCGUGUCCUCUAAGUUUUAUAGUAGAUUGCUAACUUUAGUUUGUUUUUAAUUGCAGUUAUCAAUUACUAUAAUUUUUUUGUGUGAAGUGAAUUGCCGGAUCAAAUUUGCUAGCGUAAGUCACUAUUUAUAGGAAUAUCUAAUUUCAUUUUAUUCUUUCUUAGAUGAAUAUAAUUUAAUUACUAUUUAAUUUUUAUAAUGGGGAAUACUGACACAAAAAGGUUUAGAAUAUGAGGAAUAUAAGAGAAACUAAUAUUUUCACUUAUGCAAUACACGAGAAACUAAUAUUUUAUAUUUUACACGGAUGUAAAGAAAAGAUUGGUGUAAAUUAAAAAAAAAGUAAAUAAAGCAACAAAAGAAAAGAGUGCACCAAAAUUGAUACAAAUGGAGAAUCCUGAAAUGGUAAAACGCAAAAUACAAAAACAAAAGAAAUGAAGCACAACGGUGGCGGGAAGAGGUGGACAGAAAGGGUGGUGGCAAAAAAUUGUGGAAAAGGGAGGAGGGAGGAGAGAGCGAUGGUUCAUCAAUAAUUUGAGGCGAAGAAUUGGGGACGGGCUUGAGAUCAGCUUCUGGGAGGAUGUGUGGGCGAUAGACAAACCCCUUAAGUUUGUGUUUCCGAGAUUGUAUAAUUUGAGCCUGAACAAGAAAAAGCUGGUUGGUGAAAGCGGGUCUUGGGAGGGAGGGUCGUGGGUAUGGAGGGUCGAGUGGAGGAGGGAGUUAAGGGAGAGGGAGAAAGGACUUGUGGAGGAUCUCCGGUUGGUGAUUGCUGAUUUUGCUCCUUGUGUAGAUGUAACAGACGGAUGGAACUGGAAGGCGACACCAGAUGGAUGCUUCACAAUCAAGUCGGCAUAUGAAAUUGUGGCAAAAACAAGACAGGAGCAACAAGUUUUACCUUUGGAGAUGGCAAAGGUUUGGAAGGCCCCAACACCAAAUAAAGCCAAGGUGACGGCAUGGAGAUGUCUUAGAAACAGAUUGGCAACAUGUGAUAAUUUGAGUAGAAGAAAUGUUCAGAUCAGCGUGGAGGAGAGAUGGUGCAAUGCAUGUGUUUCUAGUGAGGAAACGACGGAACACCUGUUCCUCCAUUGCUCGAAAGCAGCGGCGGUAUGGGAACAGAUCUUUCAAUGGCUCGACAUCAAAACGGCAAAUCCGAGAGGUAUCUUUCAACACUUCAUUUCUUUCAUCGCGGCUGGAAAAAAGAAGAGAGAAAGAAGACUGCUUAAAGCUUUGUGGGUGGGAACAGUGUGGUUGCUCUGGGAAAGCAGGAAUGGUAGUCGUUUUCAGGACAAGGCUUGGGAUAUUGAUAGACUUGUAUUACAGAUUAAGGGGAGACUUUGGAGUUGGAACGAGGCCUACAAAAUCAUGGAGUUAGGAAUUCCUUUUACUUCUUGGUGUUCCAAAGACUUUAAACUUGUUUUAUUGUUUUGAUUGGCAUUCCUGAUGCCUUGAUCCAUUUUCUUUCAAUAAAAGUUUUACUUUACUGAUCAAAAAAAAAAAAAGAAAUGAAGCACAAUACAUUUGAUAAUCCACGUUUGCUAACGUUUCAUGCACCAAAAUCUUGUUCUAAAAUGGUGCAUGUUUGUGCAGCGUGAGUAAAUAUUGAUAUAGAGGGAAAUGUUGAAAAAUAUACCACUGCCUAAAGAUAAUAUUAUCCAAUAUUUGAGAGAAAAUGAGUUGCCCGAGAAAAAACAUUUCAUGCAUCCUGUCCGGAGAAAAUUUUCUAUCAUAGUGAAAAUAUGAAAAAAAUACUAAAAAAAUAUUUUUUUUUCGCUCCUUUUUCAUCAAAGUAAAUUGACCCUAACCAAGGAAUAUUUUGGUUGGAAGGGAAAAAAAAAUAAGAGCUCUUUCAUCAAUAAAAUAAAUAAAUAUAUAAGUAGAAUUUCAAGUAUAGUGUGUGUUGGUUUAGCGGUAGAAUGAUUAAUGCUUAAGUCAAAAAUAUUGGGUUUGAAUUCACUGUAGUGCGACCAUUAAAUUUUUUUUGUUUAAUAAUCACUAAUUUGUAAAAAAAAAAGUAUUUCAAGUAUGAAUUCAGUGUAAGAUAGAGACUAUCCAAAAUAUUUCCUUUUUUGAGCUAGAACCAAAACAUUUCUAGUACGUAAGUUCUACUAUUUUGGUGUAGAAGCGAUAGCAAAAUAGUCCAAAGCAUUGAAGUUAGUCUAAUGUUACAUUGCAAGCAUUGUUUAUUACUCCUUACAUCUUAGAAAAAUAGUCUCAAUUUGUUAUUUUGGGAUGUCUAUAAAAAAGUUUCAUUCCAUUUGUAGGCAUUAGCCACCUCACAAAGAAGUCUCAAUAUAUCAACUUAUUUGCUUACUUUAUCCCAUUUUUUACUAUAUCACUAUCCCUAAAGUAAAAUAUUUCUUCACUUACAAUACAUUCAACAACUUUUAUUAAUCAUUAAUUUGUCACUCACUUCUAUUACUAUUUCUUCAAAACAGAGGGACUACUAAUAAUGUUGGCAUCGUUGUUAUUAUCAUCACUUACUCCUAUCUAUAUCAAAUUACAUGAAAAAUCACAUGUAGCAACUUCAAGUUUAAAAAUGGUUGUAAUUUAUGAUUCGUGUGCUUUUUAUUUUCUUCUUCUUUACAUGUACCAUUGAUUGUCUUGUUUAUUUAGAAGUUGUUCCCAUUCUCAAUGUAUGUCCUCUAAAGUAAACUUCUUUAUCACAUAAUAGAUUGCUAAUUUUAGUCUGUUUCUUAAUUGCAUUUAUCAAUUAUAAUUUAAUUCUUUUGCGGAGUGAAUUGUUGGAACAAAUUUGCUAGCGUAAGCAACUAUUUAUAGGAAUAUCUAAUCUCAUUUCUUCAAUUCCAAUUUUUUAACGGGAUAUAAAUAAAAAACUAAUUUAUUAAAGUGAUAAAAUAAUUAAAAGUCUUGAAGUAUACCAAGGUUUUUAAUCCUAUUAAGUAAACAAAAGAUUAAUAUAAUUAUUUUUUCUAUUAAAGCUAAUCCUUUGUAUUAAGUAAACAAAAAAUUAAUAUUGUUAAUUUUUAUCUAUUAAUCCUUCAAAAUGAAUGUUCCUUAUUGCUGUAAAUUGAAAAAAAAAACAUUACAAUAAAGAGCGCACGAAAAUUGAUACAAAUGGAGAAUGCUAAAAUGGUAAAAAGCAAAAGAUAAAAUUGAAGGAAUGAGCACAAUACAUUUGGUAAUUGACGUCUGAAAACGUUUCGUGCACCCCCACGCGCCGCCAUCUACAAUCAACCACUU
rnacentral:lncRNA from 1 species